rnacentral:rRNA from 1 species
UACGAAGGGGGCUAGCGUUGUUCGGAUUUACUGGGCGUAAAGCGCACGUAGGCGGAUCGUUAAGUCGGGGGUGAAAUCCUGGAGCUCAACUCCAGAACUGCCUUCGAUACUGGCGAUCUUGAGUCCGGAAGAGGUGAGUGGAACUCCUAGUGUAGAGGUGGAAUUCGUAGAUAUUAGGAAGAACACCAGUGGCGAAGGCGGCUCACUGGUCCGGUACUGACGCUGAGGUGCGAAAGACGUGGGGAGCAAACAGG